CCCAUAAAAAUCGAUAUUUAAAAAACCCAGUUACAUCGAUAGUCCGAACGAUGUUUUUCUAUUUCUUUUGGGGUUUUGUGUUGGUUGGCGCUUCUUUAUAGUGUUUUUCGAAGAGCAAUGAUAGGCAAAAGCAGAAUUUCAAGCAGAGCACUCGCUGCAAAUGGCGUCGUGGGAUCAAAUUACGAAACACAGUCGGAUUUAGAACCGACAACGAGUAAUAAUCAAGAGAAGAGCGAGCAAUUGAGUUCGCACUUAAGCGAUGGAGUUAAAUAUAUUUAUUUUACGCCAAAUACGCAAGCAAAUGGUUACGAUUUCAUAGCUAAAAGCAUUAAAACCAAAGACUUUAAUAACGUUCGCAUCGCCAUAAUUUGCGAGCAUGCGACAAAUGCGCAGCAAAUGAUGAGAGAAAUGGGGAAGCGCAGCGUGGCCAGCCUCUUGCUGACCACCGCCACAGCAACGACCAUCGCCAAUAAGAAAGCCUCGCUGGAUGGGCUGCUGGCAUUGCAGACUGACGGCGUGCUCACAUCGGUGUUGAUUGCCACCGACGACAUGCUGCCGAACUUGGCGCAUUAUGGCAAAUUAAAGGUCGAGCUGUUGAUACAUUCCACACAACCGUUACCGCAUAUCUUUCAAAAGCGCGUUAACACGUUUAUCCCAUCAGAAGGGAAGGAGAAGGAGCGCCAAGUGAUUGUCAUACAAACGCCAGCAGUUGUCCAGCAAUUACCAGAAACCGAAGCUAGUAAUCCAAUCGAUGCAUUGCCUUCGCCAUUACCUUCGCCAAUGCGUUCUCCAUUGCCUUCUUCAUUGUCUUCGCCAAUGCGUUCUCCAUUGCCUUCUUCAUUGUCUUCGCCAUUAGCUUUACCUUUGCCUUUGCCUUUACCUUUACCUUUGUUGAGACAACGAAGUCCAACACAACUGGAUGAUGAUAUCGUGUCCUCAACUUCAGUAUCUUCCUGUUCGCUGCAAUCGAUGCCACAUGAUCCAAUUGAAGAUGCAUCUGCUACAAGUAUACUCAACACCUAUAACAAAUUCGAUGUGCUGGCUCUAAGUAAGCAAAAGCUGGAUUCGUGCUAUCAAAUAAGCGACAUCAAGGCACUCGAUGGACGUAUUAAGGCAGUUAUGAAAGAAAUGAGCCAUGAGCAUGGCAAGAAGCCACAUCGCUAUGCCUGGCCACAUACGGCGAAGCAUCGCUCGCUUUGCGUCAUAGGCUACGAGGCUUCUGGCAAAACAUGGAGUUAUUUACCCUGGCUGUGUCACAAAGCUUUCCAGAAUGCGGAUGAAGGCAGGUUGGGUGCUUGUUGCAUCAUUUUGUGCCCAGACGCGCGACAAGGCGAACGAAUCGCUGUUUGCUGCGAAAAACUAUUGAACUCUAAGGAUGAGAAGAAACCUGUGGUGAUGCGACUAUUUGAACAAGACGAAAUCCAAACGGUUGUGGCAACACUGAAGGUUACUUGCGGCAUUCUGAUGACCAGCGUUAAGCUGCUGUUGCUGGCAAAAGAUGAGAUAAUCUUGGAUGCCAAUUUUGUGCGCUGCAUCGCUUUUGAUAACAUCGAUGUGUUGUGGAAUCAGAGCAAAAAUGAUUUCGAACAAUUGAUUGAGUGGUUGUUCGAACACCUUAGCAUUGGAGUGAGUGGCACACAGAUGCUGAUUAGUGGACGUCAGUGGUGCGAGGCGGUGAUGAAUCGCUUGCUACCCAAGCUGGAUGAUGUGCUGCUCUUGUUUACGGAUGCGCUGGAAGCGUCUGUCUAUGGCCGCAUUCAGCAAGAGAUGCUGUUCAUUGAUCCGCAGCGUAACGAGGUGGAAAUACUCAAAGUGCUGCUUGCCAAAAAUCUGAAGGAGGAACGUGUGGUCAUGGUGUGUGACAGCAAUGACGAAGCAAAUUACUUAAAGAUCCAUCUGAUGUCCGCCGGCAUUCGCAGCAUCAUUAUCAAUGAGAGCAAUCAAGUGAAUACCUUUAAGAAUUGGUGUCACGAAAAGAGACGAAAUGUGGUCAUUGCUAUCGAUGAUAUAAUAUCCAAGUUGCGUGGCGGUCGCAUCGAUCUCUUGUUCCAUUAUAAGCCUGCGAGCAGCUGGCGACGUUUCAAGGCCCGUUUCGGUCUCUUCUAUGGCAAUCAUAAAACACAGACUACAGAGGAGAGUCAUUCGAAUGCCACAUCAAUAAUUUGCAUCACACAGAAGGACGGCGAUGUCAUUUGGUGCAUGUGCAAUUUUCUGCUUAAACAUGAGAUUGCUGCGCCCUCAGCCUGGUUGACGUCCUUUACUGAGUUUCGCUUGACUGCAGAGCGUCUCAAUCCCCUACCCAAGCAACCGAUGUGCGAACAAAUGCUGUGCUACGGCAACUGCUGGAGACGCAAGUGUCAAUAUCGUCAUCAAGUGGCCCAAAAGGAGCUAGCACGACCCAUUGAGUACUUUAAUAAAUUGCACAUUGAAUUUUAUAUAUCAUACAUUCAUACACCAACACGUUUCGUUAUUAAGGAUAUCUCAUUACCCAUUGCUCAUCUGUAUGGCGGGAUUCCUAUUACCAAGCUGGAAGAUUCGAUCAAUUUGCAUUACAUCAACGCAAAUAAUCGCAGCCUACUCUCCAAUCCUAGGCUCAAUGAUAUUUGUGUUGUUGAACUGAAUCAACGUUAUCAACGUGUUGUUGUGAUCGGCGUGAAUGGGAAAGAGAUUAAGGUCCGGCAGUUGGAUAAUGUCAUGGAAGAGGUGAAUAUCAAGGCCUCAGAAGUUUUUGUAUGCAAGGAGUUCUUCAUCCACGAACCUGUUCAGUGCCAGGAAUUGUGCCUAGCGGGCAUUAUGCCAUGUAAUACGGAACGUAUUUGGUCCGCCGAAGCCAUGAAAUUGGUGCUUAAUGUGUUUUUGAAGGAACGGCAUACGCAUCGAUUGAGUGUUUUUAAUGCCGAUAUUGAUUUCGCCUUUAAUGAUAAGUAUUUUGUGCGUAAUAUUUUUGACAGCAAUGGCAAUGACCUCAAAAGUUUUGUACUCAACAAUAUGCCAGUGCUGCAUGAUGAGAAAGUUUUGAUGAGUUUGCAAAAACUGUUUAAUUAGAGUUGUUUACGCUACUGAGAUAUUCUUUCGGCAGCUGUUCAAAUUGCUGACAAUAAAGUUAUUGUUGGCAAGUUAUAUUUCAAAACGUUCAAUUUAAAUUUUGCUUUUGGCACAAUCUUUUAUUAUUUGUGUUAUUUAUAUUUUCCAUAACGAAAAUGCUGUUUUAAAAAAAAAUUCAUUAAAAUAAAAGCAUAUUAAAAUGAAAACCAAGUGAAGUAGUAUAUAAAAUUAUAUACAUUUAAAAUGUAAUUACAAAUUGACUUUAUUACAGCUUUUUGAAUUGCAUUUUGUAACAGACAAACUGAUGGUAUCAACAGUAUGACCAGACGCCAGUUUGUAAACAUUAUGCAGUUAUCGAUGCCAAUCGAUUUAUUCAAAUGCAUGCGAAAGAACCGUUGCAAAUGCUGUGCAUGAGUGUGUGUGGGCGCAUGCCAUGAAAAGUUAAUUUAAAUGCAUUUUGCAUUCAGUUUUAUGUGGUGCGAAACAAUUAAAAAUGAUUUACAUGGAUGAGGUAAAGUGUCACAUUUGCAAACGCAUCUUCUGCUGCGCCAAAUGCCGCCAAAAGCAUCAAUUUAAUACACACGCCAUUGCUGUGAGCCAAAAAGUGCCGAGCGAUAAUCAAA